GAAAUGCGAUAAGUAAUGUGAAUUGCAGAAUUCCGUGAAUCAUCGAAUCUUUGAACGCACAUUGCGCCCUCUGGCAUUCCGGGGCAUGCCUGUCCGAGCGUCAUUACGCACCCUCAAGCCCGGCUUGUGUGAUGGGCCCCGGCGUCUCGUUCGCGAGACGGGCCCGAAAGGCAGCGGCGGCGUCGACCCGAUGAGCCCGAGCGUAUGGGGACUUCUGUCACACGUUCGCGGUGCGGACCGGCGCCUGCUUGACUUUUCUGAUUAUCCAGGUUGACCUCGGAUCAGGUAGGGAUACCCGCUGAACUUAAGC
rnacentral:misc_RNA from 1 species